GCUGAGAGCAGCACGCCCACGCAGCUACAAGCCUGCAUGUGAUUGCCUUUCUACACACCUGGAAUUGAUGAGGGCGAGCUGCUUAAAAGACCAGUGGACCCAGGGAUCCUGGCAGGAACUUAGUUCUCAUAUGGUGAACCUUGUGUUUUCCCUUCCGUUGUCCUGGAUUAGGACUGCCUCACUCGUUCCUUGACUCCUCGCUCGCACCUGAUCCUGCCUGCCCCAUGGACUUCCUCGUUCCUUCGCUCUCGUCAACACUUUGGUAACACACGCUACAGCGUCCGCCCUGAGAUCGGUAGGUUGUGAGUUCAAACCUGGGACCCAUUACCUCCCUGCUUAGCACCCAGCUUCAAGGCUUGGAAUUGGGGGUUAAACCCACCAAAAAUGAUUCCCGAGCGUGGCCACCACUGCUGCUCACAGCUCCCCUCAUCUCCCAGGGGGGUGAUCGAGGACGAUGGGUCAAAUGCAGAGGUUAAUUUCGCCACAAUUUGUGUGUGUGUGUGUGUGUGACAAUCAGUGAUACGUUUGUCACGACCAAGGCACAUUCCAAUGCGUCCUCAUCUGUGCCUCAUGAUGAGCGCGCCGCGGGCCACGCCCACAUGCGCUCUCUUAGCUGACAGCGCGCUCAGACACGUCCCUGCUCACUGCUGAGAGCAGCACGCCCACGCAGCUACAAGCCUGCAGACGAUUGCCUUUCUACACACCUGGAAUUGAUGAGGGCGAGCUGCUUAAAAGACCAGUGGACUCAGGGAUCCUCGCAGGAACUUAGUUCUCAUAUGGUGAACCCAGUGUUUUCCCUUCCGUUGUCCUGGAUUUGGACUGCCUCACUCGUUCCUCGACUCCUCGCUCGCCCCUGGACUCUGACCCCUCUCUCUCGCCCCUGAUCCUGCCUGCCCCAUGGACUUCCUUGUUCCUUCGCUCUCGUCAGCACUUUGGCAACACACACUUCAGUUAAUCUACACACAUAGUUACACACAUUCGCACUUGUGUUUGACACUCCAUUUCCUUAGUUUAUUUAGUAGUAUUGUUUGAUAUUAUUAUACAUACAUUGACUUUAUAUAUAUAUUUAUAUAUAUAAUAAAUUGUACAUUACUGCCCCCUGGUGUCAGUCUGCCGUCACACCCUUAGUUAAACCAUAACAACGUUAACUUCAACAGGAGGGGGAGGGUUUUUGUUGUUGUUUUUUUCCGCCGUCACCGCCAUUUGAGUGACGUGUACGCCGAUCAGAAUUGUUUGUUCAUCUCUCGCGCCGAACGUGGAAAAAAGACGUCUCACUCGGCGCAUCGUUCUCAGCACCCGAGCACAUUUGUUUGACGGUGAAAUGAACUGAACGCAGUGAGCCCUCUUUUCUGUCAUUCACAGUCUUCGUCUCGGUGGGAGGAGCCUAAAACGAGGCACCUGCUUUACACACAAAAGAAGCACGGACAGACUGUCUCUCUGUUCGCGACUCGCCGCAAAGUACCGAAAUUUAGGAGUAAAAAAAAAAUUAAAUGAUUGUAAAGCCAAAUGUCCUGUUUUGGGAGGAGCUUUAAACCGGAUGGGCAAUAUGAGCCCAUCAACACGGAUAAAGGGGCGAGAAUGGCGUGAUCACGUGAUGGCAAAAAUCAAAAAGACAAAGUCCGACCUCGUUUUUCCAACCGGGGAAAAAACAAUACAGUAACACUUCAGUAUGGGGAACAUAUUCUAAGUAACACAGACUGUAUUUAGAGUUAUUUGGACACUAGGAGAACAUAUUCUAAGUAACAGACUCAAUUUAGAGUUAUUUGGACACUUGGGGAACAUAUUGUAAGGAACAAAGACUUAAUUUAGAUCAAUUUGGACAUAAGGGGGAAAAUAUUGUAAGUAACGAAGACUUAAUUUAGAGUUAUUUAGACACUAGGGGAACAUAUUGUAAGUAACAAAGACUUCAUUUAGAGUUAUUUGGACACUAGGGGAACAUAUUGUAAGUAACAAAGACUUAAUUUAGAGUUAUUUGGACAUUAGGGGAAAAUAUUCUAAGUAUCAAAGACUUAAUUUAGAGUUAUUUGGACACUAGGGGAACAUAUUGUAAGGAACAAAUACAUUAAUUUAGAGUUAUUUGGACACUAAGGGAACAUAUUCUAAGAAACAAACACUUAAUUUAGAGUUAUUUGGACACUAGGGGAACAUAUUGUAAGGAACAAAGACAUUAAUUUAGAGUUAUUUGGACACUAAGGGAACAUAUUCUAAGAAACAAACACUUAAUUUAGAGUUAUUUGGACAUAAGGGGAAAAUAUUCUAAGUAACAAAGACUUAAUUUAGAGUUAUUUGGACACUAGGGGAACAUAUUGGGAGUAACAAAGACUUAAUUUAGAGUUAUUUGGACACUAGGGUAACAUAUUGUAAGUAACAAAGACUUAAUUUAGAGUUAUUUGGACAAUAAGGGAACAUAUUGUAAGUAACAAAGACUUAAUUUAGAGUUAUUUGGACACUAGGGUAACAUAUUGUAAGUAACAAAGACUUAAUUUAGAGUUAUUUGGACAAUAAGGGAACAUAUUGUAAGUAACAAAGACUUAAUUUAAAGUUAUUUGGACACUAAGGGAACAUAUUGUAAGUAACAAAGACUUAAUUUAGAGUUAUUUGGACACUAGGGUAACAUAUUGUAAGUAACAAAGACUUAAUUUAGAGUUAUUUGGACAAUAAGGGAACAUAUUGUAAGUAACAAAGACUUAAUUUAAAGUUAUUUGGACACUAGGGGAACAUAUUGUAAGUAACAAAGACUUAAUUUAGAGUUAUUUGGACACUAGGGGAACAUAUUCUUAGUAACAAAGACUUAAUUUAGAGUUAUUUGGACACUAGGGGAACAUAUUGGAAGUAACAAAGACUUAAUUUAGAGUUAUUUGGACACUACGGGAACAUAUUAUAUUA